rnacentral:rRNA from 1 species
UACAGAGGGUGCGAGCGUUAAUCGGAAUUACUGGGCGUAAAGCGCGCGUAGGCGGCUUCGCAAGUCGGGUGUGAAAUCCCCAAGCUUAACUUGGGAACUGCAUUCGAGACUGCGUUGCUAGAGUAUGGGAGAGGGAAGUGGAAUUUCCGGUGUAGCGGUGAAAUGCGUAGAUAUCGGAAGGAACAUCAGUGGCGAAAGCGACUUCCUGGACCAAUACUGACGCUCAUGUGCGAAAGCGUGGGGAGCAAACAGG